UACGUAGGGUGCAAGCGUUAAUCGGAAUUACUGGGCGUAAAGCGCGCGUAGGCGGGUCAGCAAGUCUGCUGUGAAAGCCUGAGGCUUAACCUCAGCGGGUCGGUGGAUACUGCUGGUCUUGAAGGUGCUAGGGGGGAGAUGGAAUUACCGGUGUAGCGGUGAAAUGCGUAGAUAUCGGUAGGAACACCAGUGGCGAAGGCGGUCUCCUGGGGCAUUCUUGACGCUGAGGCGCGAAAGCUGGGGGAGCGAACGGG
rnacentral:rRNA from 1 species